AGCUCCCUGUGUACCGUAACCCUUUGUCAAGGCUCAAAGGAAGGUGUGAGCUGAGGAGGAAGGAGGUGCCCUGUUUCCAGCCCUCAUGGAGGAGACGGGGACUCACGGCGCUGAAGAAGUUGUCCUCUGUGGUGUACCUGAAGAGCAGUAGCUGAAAUUAUACAAAGGUGACCUCUACUGACCAAAGAAUGGAACUGUAGCUACACACCAUGCGCCCCCUGCCCUGCUC
rnacentral:lncRNA from 1 species